rnacentral:rRNA from 1 species
AACGUAGGACGCAAGCGUUAUCCGGAGUUACUGGGCGUAAAGGGCGGGCAGGCGGCUUCUCAAGUCUGAUGUGAAAGCGCCCAGCUAAACUGGGCGAGGCCAUUGGAAACUGGGGAGCUGGAGGGCAGCAGAGGCAGGUGGAAUCCGGGGUGGAGUGGUGAAAUGCGUAGAGAUCCGGAGGAACCCCAGAGGCGAAGGCGGCCUGAGCUGGG